GUAGUUUAAAAUUGUUGAACUCAAUAAAUUUACGAGACCAUUUCAAGUUUCUUAUAUAGUAUUCAAUCGUGUGUUGACUGUUUCUCUAUUCACCAAACUCGCUGGUUUCUUUUAGAGUUUUUAAAGUUUUCCUCCUUAUCUGAGACUCGGUCAACGGAUUAAAAUCGGGUAGUGACGUAGUAUUACCUGAAAACCUGUUUCAACAGUCAAUCUAAAAUCGGUUGAUUAACUAGUUUGGCAAGUAUUUUCAUUAAAGCAAGCAAAAUAAGAAUAUUAAUUAUGACAUGAAAUUCAUGUACACAGUGGUAAACUUUUGCUAGUGGUAAUUAUAACAAAAUCCGCUAGAAAGAAUGGCUAAUGUAAUAUGUAAAACGAUUUCCUGUUCUUUAAAAAUGUUAUUAAUAAACAAAAAUAUUAAAUGCGAAAUAAGCCACAACCAAGAUUUCUUUAAACUGCUGGCGAUUUAAGCAACUCAUAUCUGUAUUGCUAAUAAAUUCAGGAAUACAUACAUUUAUUAUAUUUGAUUUGUUCACCUAAAUGAAAGUUCACCUUUAAGCGUCAAAAACAUAUCUCAACAUUCGUUAAGAAAAAUAAAUGACAAGAAAAAGAAUUCGAAAGUCUUACAAGUCCUGAGGCUUACAUAAACCGAAGCAAAAUUGAUGAAAUGGGAAACUCCAUUAAAAACGAAAUAUUCUUGGAAAAGUUAUAAAGAACAGUUUCUGAUUGACAAUAUACUUUCGCAAUGUUAA